GUGAGGAAUUUUCCGCAAUGGGCGAAAGCCUGACGGAGCAAUGCCGCGUGAAGGAUGAAGGCCUAUGGGUUGUAAACUUCUUUUUUCAGAAAAGAAUUAUGACGGUAUCUGAGGAAUAAGCAUCGGCUAACUCUGUGCCAGCAGCCGCGGUAAGACAGAGGAUGCAAGCGUUAUCCGGAAUGAUUGGGCGUAAAGCGUCUGUAGGUUGUUUAAAAAGUAUUCUGUCAAAGAUUAGGGCUUAACCCUAGAUAGGCAGAAUAAACUUUUAAGCUAGAGUUUGGUAGAGGCAGAGGGAAUUCCCGGUGGAGCGGUGAAAUGCGUAGAUAUCGGGAGGAACACCAAAGGCGAAGGCACUCUGCUGGGCCAAUACUAACACUGAGAGACGAAAGCGAGGGGAGCAAAUGGGAUUAGAUACCCCGGUAGUCC
rnacentral:rRNA from 1 species